GAUGAACGCUGGCGGCGUGCCUAAUACAUGCAAGUCGAGCGAACGGACGAGAAGCUUGCUUUUCUGAUGUUAGCGGCGGACGGGUGAGUAACACGUGGAUAACCUACCUAUAAGACUGGGAUAACUUCGGGAAACCGGAGCUAAUACCGUAUAAUAUUUUGAACCGCAUGGUUCAAAAGUGAAAGACGGUCUUGCUGUCACUUAUAGAUGGAUACGCGCUGCAUUAGCUAGUUGUUAAGGUAACGGCUUACCAAGGCAACGAUGCAUAGCCGACCUGAGAGGGGGAUCGGCCACACUAGAACUGGAACACGGUCCAGACUACUAAGGGAGGCAGCAGUAGGGAAUCUUCCGCAAUGGGCGAAAACAUGACGGAGCAACGCCGCGUGAGUGAUGGAGAUCUUCGGAUCGUAAAACUCUGUUAUUAGGGAAGAACAUAUGUGUACGUAACUGUGCACAUCUUGACGGUACCUACUCAGAAAGCCACGGCUAACUACGUG
rnacentral:rRNA from 1 species